UAGGCCAUGGUAGAUAGAGAUGGAGUAACCAUUUCAUCUCAUCUGCACUGCCCAGAC
rnacentral:ncRNA from 2 species